GCCCACACACUUGUCACCAUUCCCUCUCCUUGUUAAUAAACUUGUUCCUGGGAAGUACGAGAGACUGAGCCUCCUCCAUCCUUUCACUGUGACCUACGACGCCUGGGACUUGCAGAGCCUGAGUGCGAGCGGGGCUCUGAAGGUUCGGCAGUGAGGCAUUUAUCCCGCUGCCGUUCCCCACUCCUGACUGCUGCCAGCGCCGGAGUGGAGCAGAGCUAGCCCAGAGCUCCGGUGAGCUGUGAGGAGCAGCGUCAGGGUGCAAGUACUGUAAUGCCUCUAAUAGGUGAGCCUCCCACAAUUGCUGCCUUCAACGUAACCCGUUGCUGCUGCCGCCUAACGUAAUGCUCCUAAUAGUGGUGCACUGCCGUAACCCUCCUAGUAGAAGCUCACUCCGGCUAUGAUCAACACCAGCUCAAUACCGUAACCCUCCUAACAGCAGCAUACAGCAUAACUGAGCACAUCUGGGCCAACCUCAACACACCUGGGCACACCUGGGCACAACUGGAGACACAUCUCAGCACACCUGAGCAUUCCAAGCCUUUCCAGUGACACCUUUCCACUCAUCCAGAAGCCACAGAGCCAGGCCAAGAAGAAGAAGAAGAAGAAGCCGGGGCGACCCCCAAACCUCCCCGGCAUCUGCAAGUUUUCUAUUGCCCUGAUGUCAGCUGCCCAUGCUUACAAACGAAUAGGAAAAAUCUCAGAAGAUUACCGUAUGGAGGGAGACCCCUGGGAAAAAGACCCUUUGCAAAUAUUCAAAUUGACUUCACAGAACUACCAAAGGUACAACCCGGAGAGUGGGUGCUAAUAAGAAGUUGGAAAGAGAAUCCCCUAACGCCGAAGUGGGAAGGACCGUAUCAAGUCCUCCUAACAACUGACUCUGUGGUUCGAAUGACGGAGAAAGGCUGGACACAUGCGAGUCGAAUAAAAGGACCUGUGGAACCACCGAAAGCUGAUAACUGGGAAGUGGUUAGCCCGGCUGGGGACUUGAGACUUAAGAUAUCCCGAACAAAAUGACAUCCAAGAACUAUUAACCUGCUUAGAAACUUAUGAAUAAUAAACUCCAUAAAGGCUUUUAUAUAGAAUGUAGAAGACCUCCACCUAGUGGUGAGGAAAUAUAUAAUAGAGGUGUUAAGAUAGGCUGUGCUUUAUGCUGGAAUUGUUACUUUUUUGUCUUUUUUAAAUGUAUAAUAUGUAAAGAACACUGGUGGACCCACUGUCAUAGAGGCUACCCACAAAGAGGGGCAUGUAGCUCUUGCUACACUGCCCAGAGGAAACUCACUAAUUGGGCCCUAGUAACCAGAAUACGAGCAGGAGAAUUUGAGGCAGGAUCAGAGAAGUGGUGGGCUAUCUACUCAAAAGGAGUCAAUCUCUUGUAUUAUUGUUACCAUCCAAACGAACCUGCGCCUUUUGUAGCAAAUAUAGUAGCUGGGUUGUGCAGACGGUGGCUCCAGGAAUUGAGGUGCAAUACCCCUUUGGUAAAGCAUAAAAGUUGGGAAAAAUAUAUACAAAGAAUCAAUAAAAGAAGGAAUAAUUCCCCUCCUGAAGAGUACUCUUGCUGCCGAGAAGAUGGUACACCCCGUGUCCCGCAGCAACCGGGUCAACGGGAGAGGCAGAGGAGUAAUAAACCGUGGAGGGAAGCAGUCCAAUAUACAUGGGACCAAAGGGUCAUGGUCCUGGAAAUGCCACAAGAGUGGGGAUGAAACAACCCAGCAAAAUAAUUCCUGGGGAAUCCAAAUUAGAAAUUCACAAAAGAAAAGCCUCUAUUGUAGCAGGGGAAGCCAAUGCUCAUUAAAGAAGUCAGUAACAUUUAUAAUCUUAAUUAACACAUUUAACAUUUGCACAAGCGAGACUCACGAACCCUUCAACUGGUCUUUAAUCCGAUGGGAGGACCAGGUCGUUAUCCAGUCACAGAUCACCUUUGAAGCCCCCAGCUUUCAAGUUACACUGGAUUCUCUCAUUAAGUGGAGGGGUACUGGUUAUAGACGGCCCGGGCAUAGUAUGCUAUAUAUGUGCCCAGCUUCUAAUCCAGGCAAAGGAUAUUGUAAUUACCCUGGCGAAUUUUACUGUGGAUAUUGGGGCUAUGAGACAAUUUCCGUGGGAUAGAAAGUACAGAACCCAGAUAAGUAACUAAGAGUUGAAAGGGGUCCACACGGAUGUGUAAAGCCCUGGACAGAUCCCUCAGGGGAAAUACUAUAUGCUGGGACUUGUAAGUUUCACUACAUCAAUAUUUCAUAACCCCAAGACCCUGGGUGGAUAUUAGGAUGAACCUGGGGUUUCAGGAUAUGGGAAUCUGGAAAGGAUCGGGGAGGGCACAUUCUUAUAAGGAAAGAGGUGGUACCCUAUGAUCCUGGAUCUGUUGGACCAAAUCCAGUGGUAUGGGGAGCAGUAAGCCCCAAGGUAAGGGACCAGAAUAACCGUUCACAAGAACUAGAAAAUAGCAACGAGUCCCAAGUAUCAACCACAGUGGGGACACCCCAAGAAUAUGGAAACGAGACUCUUUGGAAAAUUUUGCAAGCUACCUUUAGAGUGUUAAAUAGUACAUACCCAAAUUUAACUAGAGAAUGUUGGUUAUGCUAUAACAUUAACCCACCCUUUUAUGAGGCCAUAGGUUCCAUAGCAGAACCGAAAAGAGUAAAUGGCACCAAUCCCGCUGCCUGUCUAUGGAAAAAGGGAAGGGAAAACACCCCAGGAAUAACGUUAUCUCGAGUCGUUUGGAAAGGAAAAUGUGUGGGAAAUGUGCCCCCAGAUAAGGAUCAUUUAUGUCAAACAAAAAUGCAGAUUAACAACCCUCACAAGCCGGCUCAGUGGUUGAUUCCAGCAGCUAAUACUAAAUGGGUUUGUAACACCCUAGGAGUAACCCCAUGUGUUUCCAUGGCAAUCUUUAAUGAAACCCACGAAUUUUGCAUACAAGUUAUAAUAGUUCCCAGGAUUAUCUACCAUCCUGAAGAAUAUGUGUAUACACAAUAUCAAAACCCAGGGCAUCAUUUGGUAAAGCGAGAACCCCUCACGGCACUAACAGUAGCCGUACUGCUAGGCAUAGGAGGAGCUGGAUUAGGAACAGGUGUAGCGUCCUUAGUGAAUCAGCAUCAGGGGCUCAGAGAGCUUAGAAUUUCAGUAGAUGAGGAUUUAAGAAGGAUUGAUAAAUCUAUAAAAGACCUCACAGACUCUCUAGACUCGCUGGCUGAAGUAGCCUUACAAAACAGAAGGGGAUUAAAUCUAUAAUUUUUACAGCAAGGGGGCCUAUGUGCUACAGUCAGGGAAGAAUGCUGUGUAUAUGUAAAUAAAAGUGGGGUAGUAAGAGAGACCAUGGCCAAAUUACGAGAAGGACUGGAAAAGAGAAAGAGAGAACAAGAAAUGCAACAAAGCUGGUACGAAUCCUGGUUUAACUAUUCUCCCUGGUUAACAGCUUUACUAUCCACCAUAGCAGGACCACUAAUUUUACUAAUCUUAGGAAUUACGUUCGGCCAUUGCAUUUUUAACAAAAUCAUUAGCAUUGUCAAAAGCAGGUUAGAAGCAGCUCACCUUAUGUUAAUACGAGCUAAAUAUGAAGCCUUAAAUGGGAAAGAGACAGAAGAUUAUUUGGAGUUAAGUAAAAGAGAACUACAAAGAUUUAACGAACAAAAGUAAGUAAUAGAAAAAGGGGGGAUUGUGGUAAAUAGAGACCCUUUUGUUCGCCUAAACAUGUAGAUACGAUGCUUUGCAAAACUAUGCUUUAUGAAAUAAGGAUGAGGUUGAAGACUGCUGCUGACGCUUGCAUAAUCAUUAAACAGCCUUGUGAGUUUUCUUGAAUUCCAGAAAGCUAAGCUACCAAGAUAAGCCUUAAAAGGAAAACAGCGAAGAAAGGUCAAAAGAGGAAGACUCUUGAUCUUCAUCCUGCGACCACCAGAAGGCAGAGAACGACCCCCUAGCAACUGGAGACACAUGCGCAGAGACACCCGAGAAAGGACACGUAACCCGGAAGCCGGACCACUUAAAAAGAAGAACACGGAAAUUGGAAGCGCGGAAGCAGAUGGAGCAGAGACUCCCCUGUCACCCAGCGCUGAUUUUUGCUUAUUGUUUGCUUGCUAUAAUUAAUAAAAAUUUUCUUUGAUUGAAUCGUA